CGCUCCCGUUGAAGCGGCGGCUCGUUGUUUCCCGGGACCUCGGAAGGGCGAGAAGUUACCUCUGGUCUGUUGCAGGGUUGGGACGAACAGAGAGGACCCCAGGAUCCACUCGGGAAGCUGGGAUUUGAUCUGUGACUGAGUGGAAGUGGAUGGAGAGGGAGUAGCGGGGAUAUAAAGGCAGGAGGGGGAUAUAACCUUAUCCAUCACCUUGUAGCGCAGCGCGGUGAGACGCGACGCUGCAACUCCGGAGGGCAGCGUGCAACACACCGCUGCUCUGGAUCCGACGAGGGAAUGACAUAAACACACCCGGAGAUGCUUUCCUGCCCUUCAGUGACAUUAAUACUGCUGCUGCUCUGAACUUUUCUGUCCUCAACACACGAGAAGAGUGUCAAGAAAAGAGUUCUUCUUCUUCUGCUUCUUCUUCUUAUCUGCAAAGGGAGUAAUCAUGCCGGACCAAAUCACAGUUUCGGAGUUUGUGGCAGAGACCAAUGAAGAUUACAAGUCACCGACUGCCUCAAACUUCACCACCAGGAUGUCCCACUGUAGGAACACAGUGGCUGCUCUGGAGGAGGCUCUGGAUGUGGAUCGCAGCGUUCUGUACAAGAUGAAAAAGUCAGUGAAGGCCAUCUACACGUCUGGCCUGGCCCACGUGGAGAACGAGGAGCAGUACACUCAGGCCCUGGAGAAGUUUGGAGAAAACUGCGUGUACAGAGACGAUCCUGAUCUGGGUUCGGCCUUCCUCAAGUUCUCCGUCUUCACCAAGGAGCUCACUGCGCUUUUCAAAAACCUUUUCCAAAACAUGAACAACAUCAUCACCUUUCCCCUGGACAGCCUGCUGAAAGGAGACCUGAAGGGUGUCAAAGGGGAUUUGAAAAAGCCAUUCGACAAAGCCUGGAAGGACUACGAGACAAAAGUCUGCAAAGGACAUUCUUUACUGAAAGGCACCAAGAUAGAGAAGGAGAAGAAGGAGCACGCGAGACAACACGGGAUGAUUCGGACAGAAAUCAGCGGGGCGGAAAUCGCCGAAGAGAUGGAGAAGGAGAGGAGAUUCUUCCAGCUGCAGAUGUGUGAGUACCUCCUCAAAGUCAAUGAGAUCAAAAUCAAGAAGGGGGUGGAUCUGCUGCAGAACCUCAUCAAGUACUUCCACGCACAGUGCAAUUUCUUUCAGGAUGGUCUAAAAGCUGUGGACAACCUGAAACCUUCCAUAGAGAAACUGGCCACAGAUCUGCACACGAUAAAGCAGGUGCAGGACGAGGAGAGGAAGCAGCUGACUCAGUUACGAGACGUCCUGAAGUCAGCACUACAGGUGGAGCAGAAGGAGGAUUCCCAGGUGCGGCAGAGCACCACCUACAGCCUGCACCAGCCGCAGGGCAACAAGGAGCACGGCACCGAGCGCAGCGGCUGCCUUUAUAAGAAAAGUGAUGGGUUGAGGAAAGUGUGGCAGAAGAGGAAGUGUACAGCGAAGAAUGGAUACCUCACUAUCUCACACGGCACAGCUAACCGGCCGCCAGCUAAGCUCAACCUGCUCACCUGUCAGGUGAAACACAAUCCUGAAGAAAAGCGGAGUUUUGACCUCAUAUCACAUGACAGAACGUAUCACUUCCAGGCCGAGGACGACCAGGACUGUCAGAUCUGGAUCUCGGUGCUACAGAACAGUAAGGAGGAGGCGUUAAAUCAGGCUUUCAAAGGGGAUCAUCAUGUUGGGGAGAACAACAUUGUUCAGGAGCUGACCAAGGCAAUCCUGGGAGAAGUCAAGAGGAUGACAGGAAAUGACGUGUGCUGCGACUGCGGAGCCCCCAACCCAACGUGGCUGUCCACCAACCUGGGCAUCCUCACCUGUAUUGAAUGUUCGGGGAUCCACAGGGAGCUGGGAGUCCACUACUCCCGCAUCCAGUCCCUCACUUUGGAUGUACUCAGCACCUCGGAGCUCUUGCUGGCCAAGAAUGUGGGGAAUGCUGGCUUUAAUGAAAUCAUGGAGGCUUGUUUAAGUGCUGAAAAUGUGGUGAAACCCAACCCAGCCAGUGACAUGCAGGCGAGGAAAGACUUCAUCACAGCCAAAUACACGGAGAAACGCUUCGCCAGGAAGAAGUGUCCUGAUCCGACAUCGAGGCUCCACACACUGUGCGACGCAGUAAAAGCUCGAGACAUCUUCUCUCUAAUCCAGGUCUACGCCGAGGGAGUCGACCUCAUGGAGCCGAUACCUCUGGCCAACGGACAUGAACAAGGGGAGACAGCUCUUCAUCUAGCGGUCAGGCUGGUGGACAGAACGUCUCUGCACAUCGUGGACUUCCUCACCCAGAACAGUUUAAAUUUGGACAAGCAGACGGCCAAAGGCAGCACAGCGCUGCACUACUGCUGCCUGACCGACAACAGUGAAUGUUUGAAGCUGCUGCUGAGGGGGAAGGCCUCCAUAGAGAUCGCUAAUGAGGCCGGGGAGACGCCGCUGGAUAUCGCUCGGAGGCUCAAACACCUACAGUGUGAGGAGCUGUUGAAUCAAGCGUUGGCAGGAAAAUUCAACGCCCAUGUCCAUGUUGAGUAUGAAUGGUGCCUCCAGCACGAAGACCUGGACGAGAGUGACGAAGAUCUGGACGAGAAGCCGAGUCCUCACCGGAGAGACGAGCGUCCGGUCAGCUGUUACACUCCGGGCAGCAACUCCCACCUCCAGUCCGGCUCAGCGGGCCGCGACGCCGCCGGCCUCUCCAAGGACAAGCAGCGGCCCUACAUGCCCAACCUGGUCAACAACGAGACGUACGGCACCAUCCUGAACGCCAACCCUCCACAACCCGCCACCACCUCUGCGCCGCCCCUGCCCCCGAGGAACCUGGUCCAGUUAGCCGGUCUGGGAGGGAUCAGUCAGUCCUCAGCGUCCAGCAGCUGGAAGCCUGGUUCUUUAGACCUGGUCGGUCGGCAGAGAUCAUCCUCAGACCCCCCCAACAUGCACCCACCUGUACCCCCCAUGAGGCUCACUUCAACUGGAGGUUUGGGUCUUGCUCCUGUGGCGAAGAUGGAAGCGAUGAGCAUCCAGUCCAAGUCUAGCCAGGGGCCACUGGGGUCCAGAUCAGCGCCACCUAAAUCUCCUGCAGGCAAUGAUAAAAGCUUCAACAGAGGGCCUCUAAAUCGAACAGAAUCUAUUGAAAGAGCGGCUAAGGAAGUGCCAGGAUGCCCCCAGAACUCCAUAGGUCAGUCUCUGCCUCCAGCCCCCAUGCCGAGGAAGGCCUACCCCAAACAGAGGCCAAAGCGAGUGAAAGCCAUCUACAACUGUGUAGCCGACAACCCCGAUGAGUUGACCUUCUCUGAGGGCGAGGUGAUCGUGGUGGACGGAGAAGAGGACCAGGAGUGGUGGGUAUAGACGACGAUUAAAAUGACUUAAAUGGAGAUAAUAAGUACUGUCUGCUUUAUACCCAAGCUGGGCCACAUUGAAGGCGAUCCGAUGAGAAGAGGGGCCUUCCCCGUUACGUUUGUACACUUCAUCGCUGACUGAAAGGUCACUCUGGGUCUCAGGAAGUGUUGCGGGAUGCAGCGUCCCACUUUCACCCGUCUCUGUCUGCCAUCGUCCCAGUGUUGGUCGUCAACAUCGUCAUCUUCAUCUUCUUCACUGGCAUCUCGAGUGAGUUCCUUUAAGUGUCACUGCUGCAUCACCACCUCAGCGUUGUAUGGGUGUCGUCACGGCAACCGUUGCAGACGUGCAAGUCUGGGUGUCACAGGGGACUCGUGGGACUGUAUGUGGUUUUUAUGCUUCCUGUUAAUGUUCCUGACACAGGCUUGAAAAUUCUAAAAAGAAAAAAAAAUCAAUGAUUGUCGUGAAUGACCUCUCGCAAUGAAUGCACUUUCCUUGACUUUAUCUGUGUUACAACAUAAGAUGACAUAAUGAAGGUUGUAUGUACAGUAUUCAUUUCAUCCGUUUUGUGUUCAGCUGCAUUGUACAGACAGUCCUUGAAGUGGUAGUAGUGGGAAGAUCACAGCAAUGUAUCUUAACUUGCUAACAACUGUAAAUGUGAACGUGCUUACAUUCCACAUCUGUGCAUGAGCGAUUUUUAAAUGUUCUGCUUGGUAGCUGCAACUUUCCACAUCUGUAGUAGCCCUCCUGCGUGGAGGUUUUUCUAAAGGUGCUAAGUUAACCCGGGAACAUGCUGAAAGCUGCACUCGAGGGAGCGUUUCCCUGUCCCCGUUUCAAUGACGGAUUGGUGUUGCAAAGGGGAUGCUGCAUUUCUAAAUAGCCUCCUACUUGUCACGCCUGGAAGAGCCCACUUUCUCAGGUGUGUGUCAAAUAAUAGAGCUGCAAGUGAAUUCAAUGUCGUGCAUCUUCUGCGAAUGCUUUCACACACACACUGCCUGUAGCAUUUUAUCAUUUGGCAAGAGUGGAGUCAUUUUCAGCAGCAGGACUCCAUUUCUUCCUCCUCCUUCCUUCUUCUGGAUCUGUUUUAGGUCAAAUGGUGACACUGACUGGAGCUGCAGCAGCCAGUAAUUACCCUUAUGCUGAGUCUGACACCUCAGGCUGUCGUCGCCUGUCAUCUGCCUUAUUAGAGGAAUAGAAAGUGUGUGUUUGUGUUUGUGUGAGCGCAUGUAUCGUCUGCACAGAAUAAGCUGCGAAUGAAAGGAUAUUAAAAUAAGAGGAAAUUAAAAAAUGAGAGUGUGGGAAUGAGAUGAAAAGCAGGAGUUAGCUCUGUGACUUAUUUUGUUUCCACUUGCCUUUGAGAACCCUCACUCUGGCAGGCUGAGUUUCUUUUUUUUUUGUACACAAAUGAGCUAAAUUGAGUCUCUGUCUUUGAUUCUCUACACAACCUGACAGAAAGGAACAUCCUUCCUUUAGCUUAAGCCUCAUAUCAGUACAUCUGCGGGGUCCUGUGAUGUAGAAACAGGUUUAUCUAAUGUGUUGCGUAAUGAAUAUAAAACAUACAGUGUAAUUAACUUCGGUUUAGUUGCAGAGCAACUUUCUUUCUGUUCAUAUUGUUGAUAUUUAGGCAUUUAACCUGAAACCAGAGCCUUCCAUGGAUUGUGAAUGACAAGAAGAGAAGCAUGUGAAUCGUAGCCGACACGCUCUCUUCAUCUUGUUUAAUAUUAACUCACUGGAAACAGGAAGAUUUAAUAAUCUAUUCGUGUAAAUAUGUUUGGUUUUGUUUGUGGAUAUUUAAAUGUAAAAAAGAGCAGAGUUAACCUUGGCAGUAAAUGUCUUUUAAUGCACUGUGGUGAUGAGCAGUUACAAAUACGACCUCAGCUGGACCUGUGUGUGUGCGUGCUGUAAACACAACACUCAUGCGCACACAAGUGGGAACAUAAUUCAUUCUCAUUAACCAUCUGUGGAUCACUACAUCGACUCUUUAACUCUAUUGUGAAAGUAAAUGGGAAAAUGAAACUGGAAUAAUAAAAUAUGAAAUAAUACAA